rnacentral:lncRNA from 1 species
AAAGAAGAGCCUUUUUUGAGAAUUUGACUUUGGUACAUGUUUUGCUCUACAAAUUGAUAAACCAAGAGACAGUACAGAUGAUCAUUUCUCAUGCUUAAUCACAAGCACACGUUUGUUCUAUGGGAAGCUGGAAACAUAAAAUGGAAAUUGGACUUACGAUGAGGAAGUAGAUGUACUAAAAAGCAUAUGAAAGAUGAACUGAAAAAGUUGAAGCUCCAUAUCCUCAUGACGAACUGGACCAUACUGGAGUUGUGAAUGGUGGUGAAGCUUCACAUCCUUCAUCGUCAACGAGCUCCUGCCAUGAGCGAAAAUCACAAACUUCAAACAAUUUAUAAAGAAUACAGUUCUUGAAAUUGGGUCGAGCUUAAACUGUUCAGAUUUUUGAACUCCUGCAGCAGCUAUACUUGAACUUGCGCGACACAUUUUUGAAAGCAUCUGAUGUUCAGAAUAUGUUAUAUGAAAAGAGGAAGGGGUAACACACUAAGAGACAUAGGCAAAAGAGAGAAAAUCAUGAUGUAUUAGCUAGGUGGUUGAACUGGCCACACCGCUGCACCAUGUCGCCCAGCUCCUUCUCAAUGGUCUGCUUCUUGUGAUCGCCGACGAGCACCCUGGGCUUCACCAUGAACCUGGUUAAAAGAUAUAUGGGACUGGAACCUGUAGAUUUAAAUGAACUCUCACUAGAAGUAAUUUUUGUACUUCCCAUGUAGUACUACUUGUACUUGUUGUAAAAUACAUGGACCAUGUAAUAAUUUUGAAGUUAAUUAUAUGAUCAUCUCAUGUGGCUCAAGUUGGACUGGAACUCACUCGAUAACUAAACAACUAGGGUGAGGGGUGGGAUCCAGGGUGUUGCUGGCAAUGAAUGGCCAGGGGAGGUGGCAUUGAACGGCCUAGAGUGGUGGCUGUGAACGGCCAGGGUGCUCCGGCAGCAGAGCCCCACCGGGAGAUGGCGAUGCAAUUAAACUGCUGUGCAAUCAAAAUUACAGUUGUAAGCUAGCAAGGAUAUUGUAGUUUUUUGUUUUGCACUAUGGUCAUGGAGUCAAAUCAGAUCAAACAUGCGAGGCAUAUAAAAUUUGUUGUUUGAUGUUACCAUGAGCAGUGGUUACAUAGUAAAUUCAAAGAACAACAAAACAUGGCAGCAACAUCGUAGAAUUCAUUUGGAAGCAACCGCUAUAUAUACGUGAUUCCAAAAAUGUUCCCCAACCUGUACUGAGCAGCUUCAGAGCCUGUACUGACAAUGAACUGAUUUGUUAUGUUUUAGCACAUAGAUUGUACUGUUCAUUACGGACUAUUGAUAUAAAUACAUAUUGAACUUCUACACUAAAAGAAAAAUCACUAAUAAAUAACACUUCUCUUGAGCAAUCAAAUAAGUUUCACUAAAAGAAAAUUCACUAAGAAAAUGGCUAUAUCUCUGAUGCAAACUUAAUUUGAGCAGAAAUGUUCAUCUUUUGACACAUCGAAACCACUAGCUACAGUUUUUUGCUUCCAAUCAUUGAACUGAGAAUAAUUAUGAGAAUUUUUUGCUCCCAACCUCCUGCAUAUAUAUUCUCGAACUGAUUUUUUGUCACUUGAACAGAGCAAAGAAAGCAGUAAUUAAGGAAUUCUUAGCCAGACUAGGCACCCCACAAAUCCCACACAACAAAGCAUGUUAUAUGUAUUUCUGCUGCCUAAAUGUGUAUAUAAUUUCAAAUUUUCCAAGCACAUACCUUCUGUUCUUGUUUGUUGAUGGGCAUGCCGCCCCUACUUCUAUGGACUGACGGUGCUGACAAAGUGGACCUUAAGGAGCGAGGAUCACGAGCAACCUAUGGGAUGAAACUCACAGCGAAUGGUUCGACACCAACGAUAUCUAUGGAAGGGCAAUGACAGUCAACAUCUUAUAGCCCCCUAUUUUGAUAAAAUAGCUGAACUUAUUAGCAAUAAAAUAGUUGAACUUAUAUGAAUUGAUGGAGUAAACAGUAAGACAAAUUUGGAUUUCCCGUACUCCAUCAAUUGAUUGAAAACAGAGUAGGUUCAUUUUAGCAAGGCAAGAUUCGGAAACUAAAUCAAUCAAAGCACACAGAUGUAAUCCUCAACAGCCAUCAUCAAACUAAACUUGAUUUGCAAUUUCUUCAGAAAUUAGAACAAAUAGAGGACCACCGAGUGAUGAGCAAAGAGCCUCCUUACAGUGAAGAAAUAGGGGUUGACGGGGAUGGCGGUGGACAUCCAGAACUAGAGGAUCCUGAAGGACUCAAAUUUUAUUGUUAGUUCAUUAUAGUAAUCCUAAUUAGUUGGUCUUUUUAGUACUCUACAAGGUUCCACAUAUGUAGUAAUUAUAGCGAUGUAUUUGUACUGCCCCAAAAAAAACCUGAAACAUCAUAAGAACAUAAAAAAGAAUGUUUAUUAGUUCACAAACCUAUCAACAAUAGUAGUCUUGCUACUCCAGUG